CUGCGAAGGCUCAUUAUAUCAGUUAUAGUGAACGGCAAGGAUACUAAUUGGAUAACCGUAGUAAUUCAGGGCUAAUACAUGAGUAAAGUCCCAUUGGGAUGUGUUUAUUAGAAUGAAAACCAUAUGCUUCGGCAUGAUAGUGAGUAAUAGUAACCUAUCGUAUCGCAUGCUUAAAGUAGCGAUGAGUCUUUCAAGUUUCUGCCCUAUCAGCUUUCGAUGGUAGCAUAUGGGUCUACCAUG
rnacentral:rRNA from 1 species